UGGUUGUUAACAGAUUUAAUUCAUUUUAUUUUACAUAAAUUGAUCAUAACGAAAAGUUGAAAGAAAAGUUGCAAGUCACAGUUUUCUUGUCACUCUCGUCUGUUGAACAUUCAACCGAAGCACUACUAACUGGUGCACCGCAGCUGCUGAUGGUUUUGCCUUCUUUCUUCCGUCUGACGGUCUUAAUCCAUAUAAAAUAUUCGAUGCCUCUAUUUG
rnacentral:lncRNA from 1 species